UAUGUUGUGCUUGUUGCUGGUAUUUGCCCGCAAGAGCAAUAAAAAGGGAAUCUGGUACAAAUCCAGGGCUGCCCCGCAGCGGUCAACGAGAACAAGUCCACCAAUACGCACUGAUCAUUGAUUGGGAAGCAGAUGGUAGUAAGAAUGUGGUCUCACCCACAAAAUCGCAAGCCUGAAGACCUGUCAGCAUCCCUUUCUGGAA
rnacentral:ncRNA from 1 species